rfam:Agrilus planipennis Contig37854, whole genome shotgun sequence.
AGGUAGAGGGGUUUUAGUCGGUAGGUUCGAGGACUUCUUCCUCGGGAAUCCGACACUACCCAGUCGUAUGGACGGCUGGGUGUCUUUUGAAAAUUUCCCUUCUUCC